rnacentral:misc_RNA from 1 species
UUUCAUUCAAAUCACUCUGCGUCCGUGGUCCGUCCAUCCGUUAACAUUUUUCUAGUUAUCGCAUCUCCCCAGAAACUCAAGGGGGGAUUUUGACCAAACUUUGUCAGAAUGAUGUUUUGGUACCCUAGUUGUGUCCCCCUGAACUAUAACUAUAGUGUAUGGAAGCAGUUAGUGGUAUUACCAUCAUAAGAUAGCAUCAUGCAGACUGGAUGUUUAUUCAGCAUUCAUAAUAGGAAGAAAGUAAAAACAAGUAAUAUUUAUGCAUAAUAGUUUUAUAUUUCAAUUUAGAUAAGUAACAGUAUUCAACUUUUAAGUUUUUGUUGACAUUUACCCAUUUGUCUCUUAGGUUAACUUUAAAGCAGGACUUUCACUGUCAUGUGGGGGGAAAAACAUGAAAUGGAGACGAUCACUUACCAGCGCACACAGUUGACUUGAGAGAGAAGAAAUUUCUUAUCAGUCAGGAAUUGGCCAAAAAGGAUGUUGAUAUUGAUGCACAUCCUCAUAGCAACUUCAGUCCUACAGAUUAAUAAGGGGAGGCAACAAUUAUCACUGUUUACCUAGAAACCAUUGACCUAAUUCAAUAUGGGAAGAUGCCACAUGUCACACAAAGCCUCAUACCACAACAAAUCGCUGUAGCACAGAUAUCUAUGUCACACCUAAAAAGGAAAUUUCACCAGAGGCACAAAGGAUCACCAGGAUUGCAUGGAAUAUUCAGACUCGAUGACGAUAAAAAGCACAAUAGUCCAACACAUCUGUACCUGGAAUUAAGUUGACUGUAGAGAAAUUGUGUACUUGGCUUGAAAAGAUCCUAAAGUGAUUUUGGUAGCCCGUUACGGAAGACAGUUUGAUUUUCCAGUUCUUGUCUCAGCUCUACUGUGCACAAAAAUAACUAGAACAUUAUUUGUCUGAGUUUCUUCUAAAAAUUAUUCUGUUACCAGUGUUCAAGAAACUGUACCUUAAACAGUCAUACUUGCUAUGACACUACAUGUACUUGGUAUCCAGUACAAUGCCUAUAACUGACAGACAGACAAAUUUACUAGGAAAAACUGGGAAGGCCUGCCAAGGGUUUUCAUAUGUUAAAGAAAAAUUUCAAGCAAUGACGUAUACUCAUGAUAAAUUUGGUACCAUAAUGUUCAUUAUCUUAAGUAAAAAAUGACAGUUGUAAUUGGAAAUUUGAAUUGUAUUAUUUUACUUUAUAUUUAAGAAAAUUAAUAUAUUCAAACUUGUAAAUUUUUUCAUUUGUUAAAAUGUUAUAUUAUAGCUAUAAGCCUUAAUACCCUUUUUUUACAAUCUGCCUAAAGAAACACUUUAGUUGUACUUGUUUAUUAUUUAGCCAUUUCCUUAUUAAAAAUACACAACAAACUUCUAGCCCAAGACUUUCCAAGGUUGACAAGUUAUUACUUUCUUUGAUUUUGCUUAAGUUUGUUAAUUAUUGUUAAAUACUUCUGUUCAUCAUUAGUGACAGCUCUUGUUUGUAAAUAUUUCAUGACUUUCUGAAUAAAAAUGAUUAAAUUAAAACUAUAAGUAAAGUAUACAAACCCAAAACUUUUAAGGAGCAAGAGGACAAAAUUUCAUUUCAACUCGUGUAUAAAAUUAACUUUGUGAUAUUUUUCUUAGUGAUAAGUUUCUCAGUGAUAUCUAGACAUUUAAUUUUAUAAUUAUCUGUAUAGAUUUUUGUUCAGUUAAUUCAGGUGUAUACAAGACUUAUAGGCCCAUUGGGCCGGGUGUGUUUAACUGUUAAAUAUUGUAUGUUAUUAUGUUUAUAUGCUCGUACAGGUCACGUUAAUAAAAAAAUUUCUUAUCUUCUAAAGUUUUUUUUUUGUUUUAAGCUACCUAAUUAUUUAUAGUAGAGAAAACUGUUAAAUUUAAUUACUUUAUAAGUGUACAUGUAAAUCCUAUUUCACUAUACUUACAUAUUAUUGAAAGCUAAGGGACUCCACUGGAAAUAAAUGACAUUGUUACUUUCAUGGUUUAUCCCAGGCAGAAAGAUCAUCUUUUUUUUCCUGAUAUUUGUGUAUUAGCUUGAUUACACUUGUAAAGUACAAACAUACAAGGGUUUACUGCAUAUUUAUUAAUUCUAAUAUUUUUGAUUUUUGUACCAUUUUGUAUUUCUGUUAUAAUUGGAUCUUAUGCCUGAAUAGAAUUGAAUUGAAUUGAACUGAAUUGAAUUUCAAACUGAACUGAACAGAAACUGAACUGAACUGAAUUUUAAACUGAAACCAAACUGAACUGAACAGAAUUUAGAACAGAAACUGAACUGAAUUUUAAACUGAACUGAACAUAAUUUAGAACAGAAACUGAACUGAAUUUUAAACUGAAACCGAACUGAACUGAAUUUGAAACAGAAACUGAACUGAAUUUGAAACUGAACUGAACUGAAUAUAGCUGGGUAAAAAACUACAGUACAGCUUGCAUUAACAGACCACCAAAGGGAAGGAAAAAAUAUGUUCUUUUUAUGCAACAUAGUUUGUUCUUUGAUAACAUAAAAAAGGAACUGAAAAACUGGUCUCUUAAUGCAAGUAGUUUCUAAAUCAAAUGUACUUGAUGAAACUUAUUAUGCUUUUGUGCUGCAAAUUUUGUAAUGUAAUUUUGUUGUGUCUAUGAUGAUUUCUCUAAAUAAACUUUAAAACAUUA